rnacentral:snRNA from 1 species
AGAUGUGAGGGCGAUCUGGCUGUGACAUCUGUCACCCCAUUGAUCGCCAGGGUUGUUUGGCUGAUCUGGCUGACUAGGCGGGUGUCCCCUUCCUCCCUCACAACUCCAUGUGUGUCCCUCCCGAAGUUGCUCGCUGGGUGGAAGAGGACGACCAUCCCCAAUAGAGGAGGACUGUUCUUGGGUCAAGGGUAUAUGAGUAGCUGCGCUCCCCUGCUAGAACCUCCAAAUAAGCUCUCAAGUCCAAGGCCAGCCCAGGCGGAAGUACAAGACCCUCAAUGAAAAGCUAAAAAAAUAAAGCAAAAGGACUGGGGGAUGUGGCUAAGUGCAAGAAUUAGGGUUCAUUU